ACGCAUAGCUCCGCCCACAUCUGACUCUGGAUCGGUGCACGAAAAUACUGGAGAGAAGCCUGAAGUCGAAGCCAUCAUGGCCGCCAGCUCCGACUCCCUCCCGUUGGGGGAGAUUGAACGGGCUGUAAUGGCAGGUGUGCGGGCUGAGGCUCCGCUUCAAACUGCCGUUCUGUCGUAAACACCAUUAAUGAGGAGUCAAAUCUGUCUUGACCUGUGGGUGUGAGAGGUCGAGAGGAGAGGCAACAUCAUGGGAAGGACGCCUCCUGCAGGAAAAUACAAAAGCUCAACAAUAACUACUAUAAUAGGAAGUCUCUACAUUAAACCACAACUAAUGCUGAUGCUGAAGACAGGGUUAGGUAACCCUAACCCUAACCUCGUGACUCAUGUUUUAUCCCUUUUAUAGCGAUGUGUUCAGUCCAUGCGUCUGAUUACGUCAGAGCUGGCUCGGCUCAGGCUCCACUACCCGACCGGUCUGCAGCUCCUUCUGAAUGUCCCAGUGGCUGGAACCCUGUGGUCAACAGCUGGAGGUGCAAUGUGCUAUGGUAUAAAAUCAGAGCUGCUUUUUAAAAUAAGCAAGAAUAAAACUGUUCUGUUGAAUAAAACUGCUAAAAAAAUAAAAUAAAAAA